UAGAACGUCGUGAGACAGUUCGGUCCCUAUCCGCUGCGCGCGUAGGAGUCUUGAGAAGGGCUGUCCCUAGUACGAGAGGACCGGGACGGACGAACCUCUGGUGUGCCAGUUGUUCUGCCAAGGGCAUGGCUGGUUGGCUACGUUCGGGAGGGAUAACCGCUGAAAGCAUCUAAGCGGGAAGCCUGCUUCGAGAUGAGGACUCCCACCCACUUGAUGGGGUAAGGCUCCCAGUAGACGACUGGGUUGAUAGGCCGGAUCUGGAAGCCAGGUAACUGGUGGAGGUGACCGGUACUAAUAGGCCGAGGGCUUGUCCUC
rnacentral:rRNA from 1 species